UACAGAGACUGCGAGCGUUAUUCGGAUUCACUGGGCGUAAAGGGUGCGCAGGCGGCCGUGUGUGUGAGGCGUGAAAGCCCGGGGCUUAACCCCGGAAUUGCACCUCAAACUACACGGCUAGAGCAUUGGAGAGGGUAGCGGAAUUCACGGUGUAGCAGUGAAAUUCGUAGAUAUCGGGAGGAACACCAGUGGCGAAGGCGGCCAUCUGGAUCAACACUGACGCUGAGGCACGAAAGCGUGGGGAGCAAACAGGG
rnacentral:rRNA from 1 species